GACGAACGCUGGCGGCGUGCCUAAUACAUGCAAGUAGAACGCUGAAGAAAGGAGCUUGCUUCUUUUGGAUGAGUUGCGAACGGGUGAGUAACGCGUAGGUAACCUGCCUUGUAGCGGGGGAUAACUAUUGGAAACGAUAGCUAAUACCGCAUAACAGCUUUUGACACAUGUUAGAAGCUUGAAAGAUGCAAUUGCAUCACUACGAGAUGGACCUGCGUUGUAUUAGCUAGUAGGUAGGGUAACGGCCUACCUAGGCGACGAUACAUAGCCGACCUGAGAGGGUGAUCGGCCACACUGGGACUGAGACACGGCCCAGACUCCUACGGGAGGCAGCAGUAGGGAAUCUUCGGCAAUGGGGGCAACCCUGACCGAGCAACGCCGCGUGAGUGGAGAAGGUUUUCGGAUCGUAAAGCUCUGUUGUAAGAGAAGAACGUGUGUGAGAGUGGAAAGUUCACACAGUGACGGUAACUUACCAGAAAGGGACGGCUAACUACGUGCCAGCCGCCGCAGUAA
rnacentral:rRNA from 1 species